rnacentral:tRNA from 3 species
UGGGGCGUCGCCAAGCGGUAAGGCAGCGGUUUUUGGUACCGCCAUACGCAGGUUCGAAUCCUGCCGCCCCAACCA